rnacentral:rRNA from 1 species
GACGAACGCUGGCGGCGUGCUUAACACAUGCAAGUCGAACGAAGUGGCGAACGGGUGAGUAAAGCGUAAUCAACCUGCCCUUCAGAGGGGGACAACAGUUGGAAACGACUGCUAUUACCGCAUACUGAAGGAGGGGAUUGCGUCUGAUUAGCUGGUUGGUGGGGUAACGGCCCACCAAGGCGAUGAGCAGUAGCCGGUGUGGGUGGAUGAACGGCCACAUUGGGACUGAGACACGGACAAGACUCAUACUGGAAGCGGCAGGGGGGAAUAUGAAGAAAUGGAAGAGAGUGUGACGCAGCAACGCCGCGGGAGUGAGGACGGCCUUGGGUUUGUAGAUCGCUGUUAAUCGUGACGCGGUACUGGAAGAGAAAGCAACGGCUAACUACGUGCCAGCAGCCGCGGUAAUAC